AUGGACCUGCUCAGCACCAUCCAUUUGGCCGCAUGCUCGGUGUCUUUGUACCGUCUACUCGUCUACAACCGGCCGGCUCUUUUCAAGACACCUUGGUUGCUGAUGCCCGAUCCUCGCAGGUGGCCUAGACACCGACUUGACGAUCCUACGGAGGUUGCCGUGGUGCCCCUCGACAUGCUACCACUACCCGUCCACCCAUCCUUCAUGCGCGGCCACUACUGGGCGGGCAUGAAAGCCAACUGGAUCGUCCUCGUCCACCAAUCCGGUAGUCCGUGGCAUGUCGUGGAUAUCUACACCCAGCGAGACAUCACCCUUCCAUCAUUGGAUACCGCCGCCAUCGAGCCUCGCGGCCCGCCGGACACUCCUGCCUACUACACACGAGAUGCGUCGAGCUUUUGGCUCGACCUCUGUUUGUUGAAGGUUGUAAUCAGCGAAGUGCCCACACCAUCAGAAGACUACAUGGAUUAA
rnacentral:rRNA from 1 species